AACGCUAGCUACAGGCUUAACACAUGCAAGUCGAGGGGCAGCAUGGACCCAGCUUUGCUGGGUUUGAUGGCGACCGGCGCACGGGUGAGUAACGCGUAUCCAACCUUCCCGUUACUCUUGGAUAGCCUUCCGAAAGGGAGAUUAAUACAAGAUGGUAUUCAAAUUCCGCAUGUUAUUUGAAUUAAAGAUUUAUCGGUGAUGGAUGGGGAUGCGUCUGAUUAGCUUGUUGGCGGGGUAACGGCCCACCAAGGCGACGAUCAGUAGGGGUUCUGAGAGGAAGGUCCCCCACAUUGGAACUGAGACACGGUCCAAACUCCUACGGGAGGCAGCAGUGAGGAAUAUUGGUCAAUGGGCGAGAGCCUGAACCAGCCAAGUAGCGUGCAGGAUGACGGCCCUAUGGGUUGUAAACUGCUUUUAUAAGGGAAUAAAGUGAGCCUCGUGAGGCUUUUUGCAUGUACCUUAUGAAUAAGGACCGGCUAAUUCCGUGCCAGCAGCCGCGGUAAUACGGAAGGUCCGGGCGUUAUCCGGAUUUAUUGGGUUUAAAGGGAGCGUAGGCCGGAGAUUAAGCGUGUUGUGAAAUGUAGAUGCUCAACAUCUGCACUGCAGCGCGAACUGGUUUCCUUGAGUACGCACAAAGUGGGCGGAAUUCGUGGUGUAGCGGUGAAAUGCUUAGAUAUCACGAAGAACUCCGAUUG
rnacentral:rRNA from 1 species